CUGAGCAACAUUUAGCUAACUCUUUUUAACAUUGCUUCAGGUACUCUACUAAGUUAUGAAGAUUAAUUAGGAGCUAUAAUUGAUGACAACAGUUGAAGUACUUCUGGGCGUCAUCGAGCUGCAGAGGUCCUCCCAUUUGCGCGGGAAGACACAGGUGAGACCUGCCAAGAGGGGCUGACCGUCAGCGGAAGUUGUGUUUCGGCUUCUUACGGGACGGCGUUAAUCUUCCUGUUUGGAGCGUGAUUAAUAAUUGGUUUGCUGUUAAAAUGUACAACACUACAAUCGUAGCAUUGUAGACUUCAGUUACUCAUUUUAACACAGCAGGAAAAGCGCAGAUGAACGUAAGUUACUCCCUCAGCCAAAGAGUGACCGACACUUUGCUCCAUGAAGCUGAAUGAACAGGCUUUCCUGACAGUGCAGACAUGGUGGUGGAGCGAUGGGUGGAGUUCCAUACACCUAUCUGACCCAAGAAUGAGCAGCACUCAGCUGCUGAUGUUUCACCCAAUUAUAUAGCAUCAAAUAACAAAUUAAAAUCAAUUCUAUCAGAAAAUGAACACUUGAACAUGCAUCGAUGUCCUAAGAUCCUAAAGUGACAGAAACCACCAAUGGAAAAAUAUAUAUGACUUGGAGAUUUGGGUUUCGUAGUGUGUGGUUCUCUGUCUUUGUGUGUCGGCCCUGCGACUGACUGGCAGCCAGUCCAGGGUGUACCCCGCCUCUCGCUCGUAGUUAGCUGGGAUAGGCUCCAGCCCCCCUGCAACCCUGACAGAUAAGCAGUAUAGAAAAUGGAUGGAUGGAUGGAUUUGGUUUUACUAAAUCCACCCACCAGGGGGCAAUCAAGAUGCUAUCGCUUCACUUUUUUGGAGCUCUCGAGUCCCUUUUAGCACGGUCAUUAGUUAACAGUAACAAUAUAGAGCAUGAGAUAGAACAAAAUCUUGAUCAAUCAGUCAGUAAAGAAUUGAACAGAAAAGUCUCACUUCAGAUGUUUACCUCUUCCCCGCCUGCAC